CUUCACCGAGCCGAGCAGCACCGGUGUGUCGCGGUCCUGACCGUAGGUGGCCAGCAACGCCUGCGCCUC
rnacentral:antisense_RNA from 1 species